rnacentral:rRNA from 1 species
AUUGAACGCUGGCGGCAGGCCUAACACAUGCAAGUCGGACGGUAGCACAGGGGAGCUUGCUCCUCGGGUGACGAGUGGCGGACGGGUGAGUAAUGUCUGGGGAUCUGCCCGAUAGAGGGGGAUAACCACUGGAAACGGUGGCUAAUACCGCAUAAUGUCGCAAGACCAAAGAGGGGGACCUUCGGGCCUCUCACUAUCGGAUGAACCCAGAUUGGAUUAGCUAGUAGGCGGGGUAACGGCCCACCUAGGCGACGAUCCCUAGCUGGGCUGAGAGGAUGACCAGCCACACUGGAACUGAGACACGGUCCAGACUCCUACGGGAGGCAGCAGUGGGGAAUAUUGCACAAUGGGCGCAAGCCUGAUGCAGCCAUGCCGCGUGUAUGAAGAAGGCCUUCGGGUUGUAAAGUACUUUCAGCGGGGAGGAAGGCGAUGUGGUUAAUAACCGCGUCGAUUGACGUUACCCGCAGAAGAAGCCCCGGCUAACUUCGUGCCAGCAGCCGCAGUAA